rnacentral:ncRNA from 1 species
UUGGUGACAACAUUGGGUGAAAAGGGAACGCGGUGUAAAUCCGCGACUGCCCCCGCAACUGUAAGCGGCGAGUGCGAUCGGCAUAUGCCACUGCGGCCCCAGAUGGGCCACGGGAAGGCCCGAUCAAACAACGACCCGCGAGUCAGGAGACCUGCCGAGGUG